UACGGAGGGGGCAAGCGUUGUUCGGAAUUACUGGGCGUAAAGGGCGUGUAGGCGGCUAUAUAAGUCAGACGUGAAAGUCCUGGGCUUAACCUGGGGAUUGCGUAUGAGACUGUAUGGCUAGAGUGCGAGAGAGGAGAGUAGAAUUCCAAGUGUAGAGGUGAAAUUCGUAGAUAUUUGGAGGAAUACCGGUGGCGAAGGCGGCUCUCUGGAUCGUAACUGACGCUGAGGCGCGAAAGCGUGGGGAGCAAACAGG
rnacentral:rRNA from 1 species